UACCUGGAGAGCCCAGAGGAGCCCCUGCAAAAGCUGGCCAUCAAGUUCCUGGGGAUCGCCGCCAGGUCCAUGAAGCAGGAGCAGCCAGAGCUGCAGCUCAUCUGCCAGGCCCUUCAAGGCAUGACUGAUGACAGCCCUGCCGUCUCAAACCUGGCACUUCAAACGCUC